UGGUGUCCCCAAGACAAGAGAAAUUUACGAGCAAGCCAUUGAGGCUCGGCUUCCCGACGAACAUGUGAAAACAAUGUGUUUGAAGUAUCAAGUAUGCCAAGUUGGAAAAGAAUUUGUGAGAAAUUGAUCGUGGGUGUGCCAUAUAUAUAUUUCUCCCGAAUUCCUUUCCAACUUGGCACGAUCUGAUGCCGAUUUAUGGAACGAGGGGUAUGAAUACACUUUCGGAGAAAUGUUUAGAUUAAACAGAGUGAUCUUCCAAGCUAUAGUCAGAAGGAUCAAAGGCUAAACAUCGAUGAGGUCAAAGACAAGUUGAAACAAGCUGAGCUCCAUGAAGAGGAAAUGGCUGCUCUAGAAAGGCAAUUAACCGCCUUAUUGGCCAACAAUACCAGACUGCGAAAGAUAGUGGCUGGAAAGUCGGGUUCGUAAGUGCUGGGGUACAAUCCCAGACUGAUGAUGGAGUGGUGAAGUUUAUCGCAAACUGUGAGGACAUCGAGCUAUCAGAAGAAAUCGACUCCGAACAUGAUGAAAUAGUUGAAAUUGAUACUUUCAAUUGUGAGAUAGUUUUAUGUUAUGAAUUGCCACAGUUUUGUAGGCAUAAAGUUGUCAUUGAUACUUAAUUGGACCUUAAUUUAAUUUGUAAGUCAUGAUUUCUAAAAUUUGUUA